rnacentral:lncRNA from 1 species
GGGUUGGGUUGGGUGGUGAGCCAGGGCUUAGAGCAAGAAGGUGAAGGUGUUGUUCAAAGAAGAGUUGGAAAAUAAAAGAGACUGUGCUUCCCAAGCCCUGAAUUCUAGCAGCUGCAUUGGAAGGGAUUGCAGUUUUGGAAGGAAUGGGAGAUUGAGUCAGAUCAAGGGAUAUACAGAAACAUAUGGAGGAGAGUUCCUGUGGUGACCUGGAAUGCUUGGACUUCUAUGGUGACUGAGGCCAAAAGGAGUAUGAAACAUGAUGAUUAGUUCCAUCGCCUCUAAAGGAAAGGUGGAAAAUUAAUUCUAAGUAUAUCCUCCUUCUUGGGAUAGGAUCCUUGGGUGGUAUGUGAUGAUGAAGCAGGUUGAGGAGCUAGGUGCUUGAGGUGGUGUGAAAGGAGCCUGGGAGGUUCUGAAGCCCUUUUAAGUUGAGCUGGGGGCAGUGUCAAAAGGGAGAUAGGAUAAUAGCCCCUCUACUGUUAACUGUAAACUGUGAGUCUCCUUUAAAAUCUUUGACACAAGCAGUUAAAUGGUCUGGUUCUUAAGAUUUACCAAAUUAUGUUGCAAUCAAUUUUCUGUAUCUGUCUGCACUAAGCUUUAAAUUGCCCCAGCAGAAAUCUUUUCUUAUGUAUCUUUUCAUUUUCAGCACCUAGAUUAAGAAACAUUUGAGGUACUGAAGUUAACUGCUUAAAGAACCAAAGACAAGGUUUUGUUGUGCUAAAGUGAAGUAACCAAAUAAGGCAACAUUUUUUGUUAGCAUUUCUGGAUUGUAAUUUUACCAGGCCGGAAGUGUUACUAAAUGCACUCAUAUUUUUAACCACAAACAGGACUUUCCUUUUUUACUAGUUCAAAGAGUUAAAAUAGUUUCUGCCAGGAAUUGAUGCAAUAAUAUAUGUGUUUAAGUGUUACAUUAAGAAAUCAAUAUUUCUAGCUUGCACUAAGCACAUUAAGCAUCCCUUAACUUAAAAGUGUGAACAGUGUGUUCGCUUGAGAUUAAUUUCAUAAAACGAAAAGAUAAAUUAGAUCACCUAACCUAAGGAGACAAUGAGAUGCCAGCAUUGUCUUUAGUUCUAAACUCUGCUCUAUUUGGGGCAUAGAUUUUUUUUUCCCUUUCUCAGAGCUUGUUGUUUGGAUCAGGGAGAUCUAAUGCAAUAAGGAAAGUAAAGAGACAUUCCCUUCAAAAAAUCUGCCUUCUGCUCUCAGCUUCUACAAGAUAUUUUCACAGUUGGAUAAGAUGCUUCUUAGAUGAUCACCAAUACUCCAUGCCUACUCAUCAGUCCAGCCACUUGAAACAAUCACCAGUACAACAGGACCGCCAUAUCUCCAUGAUAUGAAAUGAAGAGCUCAUCCACGUGCCAGGAAGGUGGUGCACCCCAGCUGAAUGGGAACAGAAGUUCCUGUGCUCAGGACCCUUCUAGACUUCACUUUAUGUAUCUUUUUAUCUGGAUAUUUAUUCAUAUCCUUUCAAAUACCCUUCAUAAUAAAUCAGUAAACGUGUUUCCCUGAGUUCUGUGAGCCACUCCAGCAAAUUAAUCGAACCCAAAGGUGGGGGGAGGAGGUUCACGGGAACCCCAAUUUGAAGCCAGUCAGUCCGAAGUUCCAGAAGCCUGGACUUGCAACCGGGGGGAAGGAGGGGAUGGGCUUGUGGGAGUAAGCUCCUAACCUGUGGGAUCUGAUGAUUUAUCUGGGUAGAUAGUUGGAAUUAAAUUAGAGGACACCCAGCUGGGUCCUCCUGCAGAAUUGACUGCUUGCUUGCUGGAGGGGGAAAAUAAACACAUAUUUUUGGAUCACAGAA